UACGGGGGGGGGCAAGCGUUGUUCGGAAUUACUGGGCGUAAAGGGCUCGUAGGUGGCCAACUAAGUCAGACGUGAAAAUCCCUCAGCUUAACUGGGGAACUGCGUCUGAUACUGGAUGGCUUGAGUUUGGGAGAGGGAUGCGGAAUUCCAGGUGUAGCGGUGAAAAUGCGUAGAUAUCGGGAGGAACACCUGUGGCGAAGGCGGCCCCCCUGGUUGGAUACUGACGCUGAUACGCGAAAGCGUGGGGAGCAAACAGG
rnacentral:rRNA from 1 species